UUUUUCUUUUAAUUAUUUACCAGAUAAAAAAGAAAAAAUAGUGAUUGUAUCUCUUCCCUCCCAACAUUUCAGUUGACCCAGGUCCAGUGGGAGAGACAUUUGUUGAAAGGUGAUUUGAGCUCCUGGCCUGGGGCAAACUCUUCCCCUCGCCUGCACCACCUCAGGUGGGGGGCCAGGGGCGGCUCCAGGCAGGACUUGCAUGGUGGCAGCAAAGUGGCAGUGUGGCUGUCAUCCUCUUCUCCCUGUUGCCACAGCAUUCAGACUCCCUCCUGUCUGUCCCACUACGCCAUCCUCCCCCAUUCAUCAAAGGAGUAGGAAGAUGGGGCUCGAGGAGGCAGGGACAGGUGGAGAGCAGGACUGGGAGGCACGUAGCAGAUCCAACAGAAGGCCCUGAUCUUCUGCUUCUAUUGCACAGCCUGGCUUAGGUCCCCUGCCCUGAGCAGUGGGCACAGAGCAAAAUGCUACUGAAAUUCACAAAACCUGUUGUUGUGCCGGGCUCAAGGAGGGGAGGUGUGUUGUUGUGUGGCUUGUUCUGAUAUAUGUGUCUCCUUUAAGUUAUUCCAUAAUGGGCAAGGCAGAUUAUGCCUCUU